rnacentral:rRNA from 1 species
GACGAACGCUGGCGGCGUGCUUAACACAUGCAAGUCGAACGAAGUGGCGAACGGGUGAGUAAUACGUGGGUAACCUGCCCUCCUUUUUGGGAUAAGCCUUGGAAACGGGGUCUAAUACCGAAUAAAGGGGGAUGGGCUCGCGGCCUAUCAGCGGGUUGGGGGGGUGAUGGCCUACCAAGGCGGUGAGGGGUAGCCGGCCUGCGAGGGUGACCGGCCACAUGAGGAGGGCCAUACGGCCAAGGCUGCGACGGGAGGGAGCAGUGGGGGAUAGUGCACAAGGCGCGAAAAGCUGAUGCGGCGACGCGACGUGGGGGAUGGAGGCGUUCGGGUUGUAAAGCUCGGUCGAUAUCGAACGGGUAGGUGCAGAAGAAGCGCCGGCUAACUACGUGCCAGCAGCCGCGGUAAUUC